GUGCCAGCAGCCGCGGUAAGACAGAGGGUGCAAACGUUGCUCGGAAUUACUGGGCGUAAAGCGCGUGUAGGCGGGCCGAUAAGUCAGACGUGAAAUCCCUGAGCUCAACUCAGGAACUGCAUCUGAAACUGCCGGUCUAGAGUGGUGGAGAGGGAAGCGGAAUUCCUGGUGUAGAGGUGAAAUUCGUAGAUAUCAGGAGGAACACCGGUGGCGAAGGCGACUUCCUGGACACCAACUGACGCUGAGACGCGAAAGCGUGGGGAGCAAACAGGAUUAGAAACCCCUGUAGUCC
rnacentral:rRNA from 1 species